rnacentral:rRNA from 1 species
GAUGAACGCUAGCGACAGGCCUAACACAUGCAAGUCGAGGGGCAGCAUGAAAGUAGCUUGCUACUUUUGAUGGCGACCGGCGCACGGGUGCGUAACAGGUGUGCAAUCUGUCCAUAAUCGGGGAAUAGCCCAGCGAAAGUUGGAUUAAUGCUCCAUGUGAGUUUUAGAGGCAUCUCUUUAAGUUGAAACGUAAGGAUUAUGGGUGAGCACGCUUCUGAUUAGGUAGUUGGUGAGGUAACGGCUCACCAAGCCGACGAUCAGUAGGGGUUCUGAGAGGAAGGUCCCCCACAUUGGAACUGAGACACGGUCCAAACUCCUACGGGAGGCAGCAGUGAGGAAUAUUGGUCAAUGGACGCAAGUCUGAACCAGCCAAGUCGCGUGAAGGAUGAAGGUUCUAUGGAUUGUAAACUUCUUUUGUCUGAGGGUAAAAAAGCGGACGUGUCCGUUCUUGCAAGUAUCAGACGAAUAAGCAUCGGCUAACUCCGUGCCAGCCGCCGCAGUAACAC